CACCACUUUGCAAUGUCUGGCUGUGUCUCACUGCCUGAACCACUGACAGCCACCACUUUGGGAUCUGUAUUUUCAUUAGGAACCUGCCAUAGAUCAAGGGAGGAGAACAGCAAAUGGAGGAGGGGGUGGUAAAGCCUGGGCCUUGUUGGAGACACCAUUUCUGUGUGGUUCUGCUGGAUGGAAGACCUUCAAAAGUUAGGAAUCCCCAAAACACGGCCUGGGCUUGAGGAUGAUGGAGGCAGCUGGUAUACCAAAAGAAAACGCCAGCACAAAACCCAGCCAAGCUCCUUGGAAAUGUAAAUAGACCGGAACCACUGGUGUCCUCUUAACACAGCAUCAAUCACUGCUGGGUGCUGGAAGUGGCAGCACAUUCGUUGCAGUCCAGGCAGCCAUUGCGGGCAGCAGAUGGAGAGGGUUUAAGACCUUGUAGCACUGUUUUGAAGCUUCUCUGCAGAAGAUGGAGCACAGAUGGAGUGUGCUUUGACCUGCUCACUCAGUGUCUCCCACCUGGCAAGCAAGUAAAGAGGGACGUAAGAAGAUCAGAGGCACCACAAAAUGCCAUCAGCUCCCUCGCUUUCUAA
rnacentral:lncRNA from 13 species